GCGGGACUAGCUCAGUGGUAGAGCGUCACCUUGCCAAGGUGAAUGCCGUGGGUUCGAAUCCCAUGUCCCGCU
rfam:Oscillatoriales cyanobacterium 'hensonii' Contig_61, whole genome shotgun sequence.